GGUCUAAGGCUGCCUCCAACAAGAGCCGCUAAAGUCUCCUGUCCGCUAAAUGUGAGGGACUGUCAGGUCCUCUACGCCUCCAACAAGGUCCUCUAAAGCGUCCCCUAAAUUAUAGAGGAUGUGCCAGAGACCCUAAAUGUGGAGGCCGCCCACCGUGCGCUAUCCGCGCGACGGAUCCACCGGCUGCCGCGAGGAAACUUCCGCCUCCUCCUACUCACUCACCCGUUGCCAUCGCCGGACGCGGAGCAUGGCGGAGGAGCAGAUCGAAGAGGCGUCCAUGGCCGCGGCGGUAGCGGUCCCCACCCACUCACUCACCCGUUGCCUCCAAACUCAUUUCUCCCGAGCGCCGCCGCGAGCCUCCGUUCCAGCUUCGUCCAUGGCUUCCCUCACCAGAUCCGCUCUCUCCUUUGCGAGGCCCAUCAAGAUAAAAAUGGCAUAAUGGAAUCCAGAGAAGGAUCUGCUUGCUAUGGUUACUGAUGACUCCAAGGUUCUUCUCCAUCGCUUCAAUUGGCAAAGGCUUUGGACAAUCUCUCCAGGGAAGUGCAUCACAUCAAUUUGUUGGAGCCCUGAUGGUAAAAUAAUAGCACUUGGCACAGAAGCUGGUUUGAUUCUUUUGCAUGAUGUGGAGGUGUGUAUCUGGAUGAUGAUAAAAAAUGUCGGUGUCUAUUGUAUCUUUGUAUGAACAUUCGUUUGUACUUCAUAGACACCUGAUCCAGUGCCUAUCUUCUCUUAAUAUUUUUCUAAUUGCUUAUUCUCAUUUUUAUAUCAUGCUUAAACCUUAUGAGCGAACUAUUAGGAGACAUUUAGGGGAUACAGGCCUCAAGGACUUCUUGCCCAAUUAUGUUUUCGAUAGAGGCAUUUUAAUACUUCUUGAA